rnacentral:lncRNA from 1 species
ACGUUUCUCUCUUACUCUCUCCUCUGUCUAAACAGAAACUGAGUUCACCACAUCAAGAGGCAUGUAUAAGACAUUGUAUUAAUAUAGUGCUCGAGUUACUGCAGAUAUAAGAAGCAUUAGUUAAUAGUAAAAAUGAUGUUUCUAAACAUAGAAUGAUAUGAAAAUAUUUCAGCGCGAUAUAAUAUCAGAAUGCAGGUACAUCAGGAAACUUAUAAGGCCUCGUUUUGGUCCUGUAGAAUGAAUAUGAUACCUGACGAAAUGAACAUAUAAAAGAUUGGGAUAGCCGGGAUGACCUAUUUCAAGAUCAGAUGAUCCACCUCUUUGUCUGCAUGGAAGGCAAAACAUAAAUUACGAUGGUCGUCUUUAUGUUCUUACAAUUUCUAGAGAACUCUAAAGCAUGUAGAUGAACCAAAAAAUCUACAGAUCCAUGGAUUCAACUUAUCAAAAUCGAUUUAUAAUGUUAGCUAAAAAUACAUAAAGAACAUACGAAGACAGUAAAUUUACACUGUUUUCCCACUGAAGAAACUCUAAAUUUCAUUCUAAGGCAGGUUGCUUGGGGAGAAAAAUUGGACCAAGGAUUUUGGGGACACAGCUCGAAUCAACUGUAUGCUUCUAAGCCCCAUAUUUUUUGUCUUUUUAUGUGCAUAGUAUCUUUGAUAUCUCCUUUGAAUCGUGCUCGUCUAGAGGGAGAUUGGUGUUAUGGCCUAUUACAAAUGUUCUUCUAGUUAUUUCACACUUUACACAACAGAUCAGUACAAAAAAUAACACAGGAGAUCGGUAUAUGAAAGACAAGACAUCUUUGUAGAGUCAUUUACUUCAUUGUUACACAUCAAAAAAGAGUAGCUUAGUCAUAUACUCAUAUAUGUGUAAUUGUAGUACAAAGUAGUCUUAAGGAACUGGUCCUCUCUCGACUGCAAUUCACAGUUAUUCCCAUCAAUAACGUGAGAAAGAACGUGGUGCAAGAGAAGAGAAAACAAUUUCUCAGAAAGUGUCUAGGGGAGAUUGGUUUAAUCGCCUGUUGUUCUUUUAGUUAUUUCGCCUUUUCACAAGAGAUCAGCAAAAAAUUAACAUAAGAGGUCGGUAUAUGAAAGACGAGAGAUCUUUGUAGAGUCAUUUUCUUCUAUUAAAAUCACUAGCUCAAAUUCUUCAUUCUUCUGUACAUUGUUAGGUCCCUGAGGUGAUAUAUCAAGUAUUGGAAGAACCUUCAGACGAGGUUGAAAUCGAAGAAGGGCCUGAUACUCCUCAAUCAUUAGAAGAGUUUAUGGAAGAAAUGAAGGAUAUAAGGCCAGAUGCAGAAACUUUUGCUGUCAAGCUUAAAACUAUGGUAUUAUGUACUUACCAUGCCUUUUCAUCAUAUAUAGAAAUGAAGUAAUUUUAAGGUAACGUAUUAUGUCAUAGACAAAAAACUGCAUGCGAACAAAGAAUUUUACUUGGUUUACUUUCUCGACUAUUGUAAGAUGUCAGUCGUUUAAGUUGCGGAGACAGCCUCUUGUAGAAAUGCAAGGUGAGGCUGCUUGGACUCUUCAAAAUUGCCCACGGGUGUGUGCCGGAUACUUUAAAAGUAAUGCAUUUUUGAAAAGUUCAACAUGGGUGCGGCAACAUUUUUGGAGAGUCUGAGCAACAUUGCCCGCAGCAGACCAAUGGACGAACACCAGUUGAUAAUGGAGUAACAGCCAUGACACGUUCACAAUGUAAUAAUAUUAACUACUUAAGGUCUGACUAGUGUUGAAUUGUAUGACCAUCUCAUCGGAAGGCUUAAGCUAUUUGAGAGAGCAUGUUUUCAUUUACUAAAUUAUGUUGAAUUUCUUGAAGGUAACUCUCCUUGAACAAAGAACAAGAACUGCCAAGAUUCAAGAAUACCUUUAUCGGCAUGUGGCAUCUAGUGGCAUCCCGAAACAGCUGCACUGCCUUGAUCUCAAGCUAGCACACGAGCACUCCAUCAAUGCCAAUGCCCGUCUCCAGUUACCAUCAGCGGAACUUGUUCCUGCCCUCGUUGAUAAUUCAUACUU